UAGGGAAUCUUCGGCAAUGGACGAAAGUCUGACCGAGCAACGCCGCGUGAGUGAAGAAGGUUUUCGGAUCGUAAAACUCUGUUGGUAGAGAAGAACGUUGGUGAGAGUGGAAAGCUCAUCAAGUGACGGUAACUACCCAGAAAGGGACGGCUAACUACGUGCCAGCAGCCGCGGUAAUACGUAGGUCCCGAGCGUUGUCCGGAUUUAUUGGGCGUAAAGCGAGCGCAGGUGGUUUAUUAAGUCUGGUGUAAAAGGCAGUGGCUCAACCAUUGUAUG
rnacentral:rRNA from 1 species